rnacentral:lncRNA from 1 species
AAAUGGUGAAGUUCCUGUCUCCACUUCUGGGACUGACAAGGGAGCAGGGUGGAAGAGAGGCUGUUCACCUGCCAUACACGUUUACCUGGAAGUCAGUUUUCUGAGGAAAUGGAUCCUGAAUGAUGAUAGUCUGCUGGCUAAAAAUGACUCGGGGUGAUCUUUCCAAGUUCUGGGGACCCUGAGCUCCCAGUGAAAUUCCACGGAGAAACCA